rnacentral:lncRNA from 1 species
UUCUUCUUCCUUUCUUCCGUCUUCUCUUCCACGCUUCCCUCGCGGAUGGUGUAGUCGUUCCUUGGCGCUUGCACUCCUCCUCGUCGUCCGUGAAGUUCCGACAAUACCUAUUCAUGCGCACGGGAGAAGUGUCAAGUAGUAUGCCAUCCUUGAAGGGGUCAAGUGAGCACGUGUAAAGGAGAUGAUUCACCUUAGUGUGUGUGAAGUAGAUGUCGCACGUGUCACUUGCCAAAUGGGCUCUUGACAUGGUGAUGUCCGUAGGAUGCUCCGCAUCAUCCCCUCCCCCUUGGGAAAGAUCCGACCUCGGAUCGAAAACCAAAUCACCAUGGGAAAGAGAUGGCGUUGCCGUGUAGAAGUGGUCGAUCACCAAGUUCUUGUCAUCUUGAAGUUCCAAAUGGGCACUCUCCAAUGUCGCACAGUCUUGUAAUUCCUUCAAAAGUAGCAAAGAUAACAAGCACUUGGAAAAACAAAUGUGGUUGUUGUAAGAGCAAAACCAAGCAUUCAAGAGGUGAUUCACCCAACAAGUGUUGUCAUCAAGCAUAGCAUAUGGUUUGACAAAGAAGUGUGUCAUGACAUUUUGACAUAUAAAUUGAGCACAAUCAAGUACAUCAUGGGAACAAGCAUGUAAAUGGGAGGUCAAGAUGCAAAUAUAUGUGAUAAGUGAACAAGCAUCUACCUCAAGGUCAGAGCAAGCAUGCAUAAAGAGCUCAAUGAACGGUCUAUGGUAGGCAUAAGAGUCAUUCACAACACCAAAUAUAGUGAAAUGUCUAAACACAUGGGGCAAGUGCAAGACAAUCCAAGCAUAACGUGCAUAGGGUGUAGUGAAGAUAUCGUGGCACUCAACACAAAGGAAAGAGCAAUUGUUCAUCAUGUGUGAGGCAAUCAAGUCAAGCAUGUGACAAGCAAAGGGACAUGGCAUAUGUGAAGAAAUGAUAUUGGUGCAACCAACCAUAUGAUAGUAGCAAGUAGUCCAAGAAUUGGAUGCAACACACAAGGUAUAUAUGUCAUGAAGCAUGAAAAUGUGGCAAUCAUGGUAGAAAGCAAUAUCUCGAACAUGCGUGCAAAUGGUGCAAGCAACACAUGAAGUAUGAUUCACAAUAUCCAAGCUCAAGAAGGAUGUCACCGUGAAAGUGUGUCCUUGUGCAUUCUUCACAAUGCCGAAGUGGAAGCAAAUACGGUGUAGAAGCGAGUCGUGGUAGAAUGUAUGAGGCUCGCUCUCAAGAGCUCGAAUGGUCAACUCACGUGAAGUGGAAGUCGAAACAAAGUCCAAGUAUCCUACACAUGCACACAACAAAACAAAGAACGUAUGCACAUGGUAGACAAACACAUCAUCCAUCAUGAUGGUUCUCUUCUCUUGCACAUAACUAUUAGAAGCACAAGUGCAUGAAUAAUAUGAUGCAACAAUGGCUAUAUUCAUGGCACUAGGUAUAUGGUGCAAAGAAGUAAGACAAGCAUGCUUCACAAGAAUUAUGUCAAAAUCUCCAAAUAUAUGCGAGAAUGCUAUGGGGGCAAUCUCAUGAGCAAGAAGAGAAUCAUUGUUGCACUCAAUACAUGGUAAAUCAUCUAGCAUGAGAGAGGCAACACAUGGAGAUAUAUGACAAGGAGCAAUAUGAAUCAUGUGCAAAGCAUAUGGAUGGUUGUCAUCAACCGCAUGAGAUGAGCACUUAUAACACAAGAGAUAAUGAUCAAGAUAUAUCAUGUGAGAGGCAUGAGCAUAUAUGUCAUCAACCCAAGAAAGCAAGUAGUGGAACAUGGGUGAUGCAAUAUAGCGAGCAUUCAUAGCUAUCAAAUCAAGCAAGCUAGUAGUGCGAAGAUGCAACAUACUAGGAGGAAUCAUGGCAAACAUGUCAUUGGUGCAAAUAGUGGGCAUGAAUAAUUCACAAGUCAUAGCACAAGCAUGAAAGCAAGAUAUGAGUACAAUAUCAUGAAUGUAUUGGCGAGAGGCCAUAUGUGAAUAGCAAUGGGUCAUCAUGACUCUCCCAACACAACAAGCAUCAAUAGAAUGGGGCACAUGAUAAACAUGGCAAAAGCAACAAGGAUCUCCACCAAGCAUGCAAAUUCACAUAGGAAUAUCAUAAUGGAGAAUCAUGGGUAGAUGCAAACAAGGGUCACAAUUGCAUGGCAAAGGCAUAGAAGCAAGCAUAGCAUGCAAAGUGAACACGGUAAAAUGAGCAUAAUGUGAGAAGUGGUAAAUGGCCCAUAGCCGUGUGAGAGCCAAGUAGAGGAGUUGCGCGUAGUCCUUGCGCGAAGGGAACAGUGGUAAGGAUAGUCCACGGGAUCCCAGAUCGUCAUUGCUCUCAAGAGCUCGUUUUGUCAACUCGUGGGAUUGCGAGGUUGACAAGUAUUCCUGGGUACCUACACAAAAGAGACACAAACGAAAGAAAUUGUGUGUGUGGUAAAUGUACACAUCAUCCAUCAUGAUGUGUAUGUGCACGUGUGAGUUAGCACAAGAUAAGCAUCGCUCAAAGAAAUUUGAUGCAUGGUAUAAGAACAUGUCAUCCAUCAUGAAAGAAUAGUUAUUAUGUAUGACAUGAUGGGGACACAAAUUGAGCAAACAAGUAUAUGGCACAUCAAAAGCAUGUUUAUUCAUGGGGAGCAUAUGGUGCACACAAGUAUUGGGAUCAUGCAAUGGAUGGGAUGGGUCAAAAUCUCCUAAAAUGUAUGAGGAAGCUAUGGGGGCCUCCUGAUGAGCAAUAUCGGAAACAUCAUAUGGAGAAAAUGGACAACAUCCAAAACAAUGCAUAUCCGAAGCUAGGUGGUCAUGGCAUGGCAUAUGAGAUAAAUGAUGCAAAGGGAGCAUAUCAAUAUCAACACAAGAAAAACAAAUGCCAAUAACCAUGGGCUUGUCAUCUAUGCCAUAUGUGCAAAUUGGGUUUAUUUUAAUGGCAUAUGCAUAGUCACUAUGAAGAGAUUGCAAAUAAGACAUAUGGUUGAUCUCAUGCAUAGCAUAUGACAAGUCAAGCAGAUUAUCAAACAUGAUGUGACCUAAAGAAUUGUCACAAGAAAUCCUAUGUAACAUGGCAUCACAACUAAUAGACUCCAGAAGAGAAUCAUCAUACUCAUCAUAAAUGGGAAAAUCAUCGCAUGGGGAAAUCAUACUAGCAUGAAGCAUGGCAAUAGGUGGAUCAACAUCAUGCAAGCAAUCAAUGUCAAGAAUGUCCACUAGUGGGACUAGAGCAUCACCUUCACCUAUGUUACCUUUGUCAUUCCACUCAAGUGGUGUAGGUGAGGUGGGAAAGACCAAAUGGUGGUCAUCUUCAUCUUGAUGGAACCAUGUGGGGGGUGCAUCAUAUUCCACCAUGGCCAUCGUCUUGUCCAAAGGGAGGACGAAGUCGUCGAGGAUCGGCGCGUCAUCAUCAAUGGGACCUAGCACCAAAUGAGAAGACAUAAUAGAGGUAGAGGUCAAGUUGUUAGAAAUGCAAAUGGCCUCACGAGACCUAUCAACUAUCUCACUCUCUCUAUGUGGUGGUUCACUCACUCACUCAAAAUAGGUGCACUCAAACUCACGUAUGGUGGAGUCACUCAUCUCACUCAAGUGGUGGGGGUUGUGGCUCUCCUCACAUGGGAAUUGUGGCAACUCAUCAUAUAUGGGGCUAGUGGUGAAGUCACUCUCACUCUCAAUAUGGUGGCACAAGUCACUCAAGUCAUCAUACAUCACCGUGGUCGAAGGGAAAGUCCCAUGCUCAACCAUCUCGUCGUGGUCGUCGUGGAUGAAGGCCGAAGAUGGCACAUCAUCACUCUCGUUGUGGAUGAAGGCCGAAGAUGGCACAUCAUCACUCUCGCCUCCUAAGAUGGAAGCAUCAUCCUUGCUCGCCACCUUGUCGCUCGCCUCCAAAGCUUGGUCCUUGGGAGCAUCGUCUUGGAGCUCGUCGGGCUUGGACAUCUUGGUGGUACUAGCCUCAUGCUUGUCGUAGAGCUUGGUCGCCGCGAAGUUUGCUUGGGGUGGAGAAGCCUUGGCCUUCAUGAGUUCUUGUUCCGCCUUGAGAGCACCAAUGUAGUAGUCGUCGAUGGACUUGUAGUUCUCGAGGAAGAUGGUCUUGGAGAUGUCAUUGUGCAAUCCCAUCAUGAAGUGGAACUUCAUCGAAAUGGGGUCGUCCACGCCGGCUCGUCGCAAGGCAAUCAUCAUCUCCUUGAAGUACUUGUCGAUGGACUUGGAUCCUUGGGUGGUGUUCUCCAAUUGGUGUCGAAGUUGUUCCGUGUAGGUUGGAGGCACAAACUCUCGCCGUAAAGCUCUCUUCGUCCUGGGCCAACUCAACUCGUAGCUCUCCGAAGGUGUGUGAAGCCACCAUGUCGAGGCGUAGUCGUGGAAGUUUCUUGUGGCGCACUUCACUUGAUCUUCGGGACGAACUUGAUGUAGCUUGAGGUAGUCGUCCAUCAAACGCUCCCACUCGAGGUACUCCUCGGGUUCUUGAGUCCCAUAGAAAGGAAUCGUGUGGUCGAUGUCGAGGUCGUAGUAGCUCGUGGAAGUCGCGGACUUGAGCUUGGGGAGCUUCUCUUGAGUGUAGUCUUGGGGUUCUUGUUGGCGAAGAUGCCGUAUGUCCAUAGGCGAAGAUGCCUUGAAGUCACUUGGCGAAGAUGCCAAGGGAGAUGGUGAAGUCAUUGAGCGGUUGUUGAUGUAGAGCUCUUGACCUUCACGCUCUUGUUGGUGAUGGUGUCGAUGCCGAUGUGAUCUUGCCGGAGAUGGUAGCUCGGAAGCAUGUGCUCUUGAGCGUCUUCUCGAAGAUGAGGAAGAUCGCUUGUAGGACUUGAUGAGGGCUUUAAUCUCCUCCAUUUUAGCUUGCAUCUUGGCGUCGGAGUUGUUGUUCAUGGCAUCGAACUCGUCGUUGUUGUUGUAGACCGAAGAUGAAAUGCCUUGCCUAUCCAUCACAAGACUCGAGUAGAGGUGAGUAGGAAAUGAGAUAAACAAUACCAAGUUACCUUUUCCCAAAGUUGAGGAUGUAUCUCGUGUCACUCAAUGUGAGAUGAAAGAAUAGUGGAAUUGGUACCGGACUUGUUCACUCACACCUAUCAAGUAAAGCUUGUGGUAGAGCUCGGUGAGGAUAGUGGCACAAAAAUUUAAUGCAAAAUGUUAGCAAGAGUCAAUAAUGUUGAAAGAGAUUCACAAAUUCGCAAGUGAAACAAAUGGACCAAUAGCAAUGAAAGGUACACGGAAACACACACAUGGAUAGAUAAAUGGGGUCGUGCAACCAAGGAAUGAGCAUAAAAUGUGGAAUCCACGGAAAACGCUCGUGUUGCACAACUCAAGAGAGACGCUAGCACGAUUGCUCAAUAGGCGGAUACGACACUUGUGCACAACCUAUAAGAUGCAAAAUGGAUAUUCUUUCUAUCCCAAGUAUGCUAUGUAUGUAUGGUUCCCGGUGUUUCUCUCAAGCAUGAUAUCAUAUGAUGUAGAUUUUGGUAUGGCUCUUAUGUUCAAUGGGGUAUGAUGCUAUGGCACUUGCUCACGAGCUCUUUGCUCUCUUUUUGCUUAAAAGCUUUUUCUCUUUUUUUUCUAUGGCCACUUUUGCACAAUGCACAAACCAAAAUAGCAAUUGUGUAUAUGCGGGAACAAACUUGAGGCACAAUGGAUGAUAUGAUACCAAGAUGAUAUGGUAUGUAUGCAAUGGAUGGUGUAGACCACUAAUGUGCACAAGUAACGUUGCCGGCAAUACUCAAAUGGCUAGUCUCGAUAGGCAAGUAACGCAAAAUGGGCUAGGGGUUAACAAUGCAAUUGCAAGGGAAUAUACAAAGGUGUCGUCGAGGUUACCGUCCUUUGCGAUGAUGAGUGGCGGUGUUCUUGGUGUAGAUACCAAGAUGAUGGAGACUCGUCCCUAAGUAUCCGAAACACCUUAGGAAACGGAAAAACCGCGAACUCAAAAUCUCAAAUGACAAAUGUCAAAUGGUGGUAGCAGAAAGCGGUGGUGGUGUUGCACUAGGCAAUGCAGAAGUGGAAUGAUGGGCUAUACACGGGUCAGAGUUGAAGUUGCCGUCCCUAAGUAGCCGAAACACCUUAGGAGACACAAACCACAACUCAAACAACCACAUAUGCAAUGGGGAACAAAAUGGGUUAGGUUGCGGAAGUCGGUGGUGGUAAUGCGGAUGAUAUGGUGAAUGGCCUAGGCAAACUUGCCAAAUUUCAGAAAAUAUGAUGGAGUCAAAUGAUGUUGGUGAUAUUUUUGUGGGAUGGGGGAUGUCAAUAGCUUCAAAACGAGCUAAAGAACGUCAAAAUCGGACUCCGGAUGAAUUAGUUAUGGUCGAAACAAGAAUUCAGCCGAGUCAGUGUCAGGGUUAACCGGACAUCCGGGAGGAGGUCCGGAUGAUCCGGGCUAGGUCCGAAUGAUCCGGGAGUACUUCCGGAUGAUCCGGGUUCGUCAGCUCCGGUUCGGGAAUUUGGGCGUGUGGGUUAUCCGGACGUCCGGGGGGCGUCCAGCUGAUCCGGGGGAUGUCCGGAUGAUCCGGGAGAAGGUCCGGAUGAUCCGGGCAAGUCAAUCCGCUCGGGAUUUGCUCUCGGGGACGAAUUUUUGGGCGAAAAUGGAUGAUUUUCGGGGCAAAAUUUGAGGGAUUUCAUGGAUGGAAGGUGGGGAAACUUGGGGAGAUGCUAGAUCCACUUGAAACCAAGCAAAUCCAUGGAUCAAAAUCAACAAAACAUCAUCAAACCAACAAAUCACAAAAAAAUUUGGGGGCUAUUUUUGGUGGGGAUUUUCGGAUUUAGGACGAAAUUAACAAAAUCAAGCUAGAAAACACGGGGUAGGGGCUCAAAAAAUGUGAUCAACGUGGCUCAUGAUACCAUAUGAUGUAGGGUGGAACCGUAUAGCGACGAUCUUUCACGUUUGGAGUGGGAUCCCUCGAAGAACACGAUGAACACGGGGAAGAACGGGGAGAAAUCACAAGGGGAAACACUCAAGAACAAGUCCAAAUCACACAUCCACUAGACAAUCAAACACACAAGAUCACAAGGUACAUGAACAACAAAGGGAAAGAUACAAGGUAAGGUUCAUCUCCAAGAGGAGGUCUUGAUGAUAUCCUAGAUGGAUCUUCCCACAAGGGGGUCUUGAUGAUAUCCCGCGGGAUCUUCUCCUAGAUGGAGGUCUUGGCCUCCAAUGGAGUAGUGGUCUCUCUCUCUCAGGAGUAGAGAUAGGCAGGAGCAAAGCUCACCUAAGAAUGAGCUAUCACCUUGCUAACCCUAGAAAGGAGGUGGAGGAGGUCUAUUUAUAGCCCAAGGGGCGAAGGGGUAAGUGAGGGGCGAAGGGGUACACGGGCUUCGGCCCAAGUCACGCACGCAGGCGGGGUCCGGAUGAUCCGGAUGGCCCGGAUGAUCCGGGUGUCGGGGGUCCGGAUGAUCCGGGCGACCGUCCGGAUGAUCCGGCUUCGUCGAGCAGCUUCUGUUGUCUUCGGGCACGUUAGUCGGAUCGUCCGGGAGGUCGUCCGGAUCGUCCGGGCUCGGUCCGGAUCGUCCGGCUGGGGGUCCGGAUGAUCCGGGCAACUCCAGUCUUGCUCCAUUCUUCUUCUUCCUUUCUUCCGUCUUCUCUUCCACGCUUCCCUCGCGGAUGGUGUAGUCGUUCCUUAGCGCUUGCACUCCUCCUCGUCGUCCGUGAAGUUCCGACAAUACCUAUGCAUGCACACGGGAGAAGUGUCAAGUAGUAUGCCAUCCUCGAAGGGGUCAAGUGAGCACGUGUAAAGGAGAUGAUUCACCUUAGUGUGUGUGAAGUAGAUGUCGCACGUGUCACUUGCCAAAUGGGCUCUUGACAUGGUG